UUGACGUCAUCGGCGCCUAAUCGCGAGACGUACUUGCCACACACGCACGUACGCACGCACACUCAGCAGACUACCACCGUAAAAAGAGAGAGGAUGAUCAGGCGUCACGACGAUGCGUCCUCUUCGCCCGCGCACUACAAUCUAAGGAGAUAAGCAUCCUUCUCCUUCUUUCGUAUGCUGCUGCUGCUGAUGAUGAUGAUAGUAAUGACGAUGAAUUAAACGAUGACGAUAAUGAUAAUGAUGACGACAACAACGAGGUCCACCUCCUCCUCCUCCUGGAUCGUGCCGUCUCCUCACGUGUUCCUCCACCUCUAGCUUCUUUUACUUUUAUACCACUACCAUCACCUCCACCUCCUCCUCCUCUCACUCUCGUCCUCGCGCGAGACGUUCGACGUCCGUCGUCGUACGUACCUACUAGAUUCAUCGAUCGAACCACCACGAUCUUUUCAUCGAUUCCGUUCCUCUUUACUUCCCUCUCUUUUUAUUUGUUUAAUUUUCUUCUUAAUAGAACACACCAGGAGAAGAUAAGAUUU